rnacentral:rRNA from 1 species
GGAAGGAUCAUUAUCGAAUAAAACUUGAACAGGUUGUUGCUGGCUCCCCUCGAUGGAGGGGGCAUGUGCACGCUUGUCAUUUUUAUCUCAUUUCUCCUCUGUGCACCAGCUGUAGGUCUGGAGUGUUUGAAAUAUCGAUUGAGGACUGCUGUGCUUUUUGAAAGAGUCGGCUUUGCCUUGCAUCUCCAGGUCUAUGUUUACAAUCUCUCAAUGUGUUUGGAAUGUCAAAUUAUAUGUAUAACAUACAACUUUCAGCAACGGAUCUCUUGGCUCUCGCAUCGAUGAAGAACGCAGCGAAAUGCGAUAAGUAAUGUGAAUUGCAGAAUUCAGUGAAUCAUCGAAUCUUUGAACGCAUCUUGCGCUCCUUGGUAUUCUGAGGAGCAUGCCUGUUUGAGUGUCAUCAAGUUCUCAACCGCAUUGAUUUGCUUUGAUGUGGAUUGGACAUGGGGUUUGCAGGCCCCUUUCAAAGGGUUCUGCUUCUCUGAAAUAGAUUAGUGGUAAUCUGAGCAGAGAGACUACUACGGGUGUGAUAACUAUCUAUGCCUUUUUGUGAAAUCCUGCGCAAACUGCUUCGAAUCUCAUUUUUGUUGACCAAUUUGACCUCAAAUCAGGUAGGACUACCCGCUGAACUUAAGCAUAUCAAUAAGCGGAGGAAAAGAAACUAACAAGGAUUCCCCUAGUAACUGCGAGUGAAGCGGGAAAAGCUCAAAUUUGAAAUCUGGUGGUUUUUUGACCAUCCGAGUUGUAAUCUAGAGAAGUGUUACCCGUGCUGGACUGUGUACAAGUCUCCUGGAAUGGGGCAUCAUGGAGGGUGAGAAUCCCGUCUUUGACACGGACUGCCAGUGCGCCGUGGGUGUGCUCUCAAAGAGUCGAG